rnacentral:lncRNA from 1 species
GCUGCGGGCUAAGCCAGACAGUGUUUGCCUCCGGUUCUUUCCACCGUGGGAAGCGAACGCCACCCCCACCCGCCUUUGCCUGCGAGUCUCCCUCGCUGGCAGAAGGGAAGCCGGCCCGGUCCCGGGAGGAAGAUGGCGCUGCGAAUUCGGUCUACUGGGGAAGGCUCUGUGACUUGCUCUUUUUUGCUGCUGGAAAGUCUAACACUUGCAGUAGGUGCUAAAUUAGAGUCUAUUCACUCAAUGGAGGAACUGGGGAAGAACAAAACCCAUUUAAUGUUUUCAGUGAAUGCCUGGGGUAUUUAUAUCAAAGUUCUAGUAGUGGCCAGUUAAUGAAGAUGAGCUCUUAAUUUUUCACAAUGAUCUACCUUAGAGAGAAACAGAGGUGCAUCUGUUGGAUAAUAGUCAAGGCGUCUGUGUCGGUAACCAGGGGUCCAAGAAUUUUAGAGUUGGAUCUUUGUCUCAUGGAUGCUCUUAGGAGACCCACCAACCACCAACUCCUUGUAUUGCAACUGGACCCCCUCGACCUGGGUGAAUGUACUCUUUUCAGCAACCAUAUCCUCCCUCCUGUUGCCAGCCUAUAUCCAGCACGGGAGCAUAGGCUAAUCCUGCAGUUGGCCAGCCUCUUGUCCUCUGGAUAUCCUGGGAUGGAAUCCUAAUGAAGGAAACUCCAGUGGUUU